AAAUAGAACUUUGCAGAGAGAGUUAAGAGGGCGUGAAACCGUUAAUUGGCAAACGAAUCGGAGCCACGAAGUCGUUUCGUAGUAUGAGCCUGGGCUGAGUUCAGCUUAAAUUGGAUGCGAGAGUGUCCAGUUUGGGUGUAUUCUCGUGUCUGGCCAACUUUGUAAGCGUACACUGCAACCAGUUAGACGAUUGGUGAUGGGCACAGUUGCAAGUUAGUAGUAGCGUUUUAGUUCUUUCGGGUUCUAUGGUGUUGCUGGAUUUGUGCAAGUGAACUAUGAACCAAAUACUGACUGGCAAAAUGAAAAUCGCUUCGGCGUUGUAUAAAAUGCAACUUGUUGCAUUUAGGCCUACACUUGCUGGCCAUGUAGUCUUUAAGCUUGGUAUUUUUGAAUUUAGACUUGCCAGCUACCAGUGGGGCAACUCCUGGUGCUGGUAUAGCUUCUAUCUAAUCGGAUGCCGACUUGGCUGUAUGUUGUCUGGUGGUGCUACGAUAGGGUUUAAAUGUAAGCGAGUUUGCUAGAAUUGGCAGUGAGUAGGUCGGCUUUCCGAACGACCCGUCUUGAAACACGGACCAAGGAGUCUAAUUAGGCAUCGAGUCGAUCGGUCUUGAAUAGGCCAGAUGGGGAGUUUCCUUCCGAGAAGGCGUAGAGACAUGUGAUCGUUGUGGCUGCAAAAGCUUGAACGCGCAACAUGUGCCUGUUCUCAAGGCAAUGUAAGUUUGUAUAUAAUUACUUGAGCGGAGCAAAGAGAUGCUUGAUUGGUACCCGAAAGAUGGUGAUGCCUGGGCAAAUUGAAGCCAGAGGAAACUCUGGUGGAGGAUUUAGUCUGACGUGCAAAUCGAUCGUCAGACCUGGGUAUAGGGGCGAAAGACUAAUCGAACCAUC
rnacentral:rRNA from 1 species